UAAUUUUAAUAAAAAGAGGAGAGCUCUAACAAGCGCAUCUUACCUCAGCGCUAUCUUCUCCUCUUUACCUUAUAACAGGCACUGUAUGGAGCAGUUACAGAAAUCUCAGUAUGGUGCCUUUCUUAUUCUGAGAUGUGGGCUGAAGAAGUGCUAAAUACCAGUUUGGGGGCAGCCUGUGCCUAUUCAUAUUUAUUUAGGAGUCCCUAUAUUUUAAUGGAUUUACACGCAUUAGUAACUGUGCAUAAGAGUAGAGCAUUACCUGUGUUAAGUUGGAAAAGACUUGUUUGUUUAUGAUCUGGGGUUCAGGGGUGCCAAUGCACUACCGGAUUCCCUGCUUAUGGAAUCGUCCACAUGCAGACAGAUCUAAAGACAGAGACACUAGCUGUUAUAAAUAAAGCCUGAUUGGAUUUAUUCUGAUGACUUUUGUAGAGAAUACAGAAAAAAAGCAAUGAACUAGCUGAAAAACUAAUUUUAAGGAAGUCAGUCUGUUUCAGGUCGCCUCAUCCACCCCUCCCAGACAUGUUUCCCUUGUCUCUUUCUCGACAGAGGUCAUCAUACAGGGCGACCAAAGCAGUUUCUGCACCAAAACCAGCCAUAAACCCCAAUAGAAAUGGAUCCAGAAAAGUUUCUUCCAAAAGCACCUAGAAAAAUGACCUCUUAGUAAUGAAGUCAUACUCUCGCCAGCGGCGCAGGAAGGGGGGUGCGGGUCUCCUCAGGUGUCAUCACUGGGUGGGGGUGAGAAAAUGCCAAAAAUAUGUGUUUUUAAAAUAAAAUUUAAAAAUUUGGGCUCACAACGUUUUUUGAAAAAGUAAUAUUAUUUAAAAUGAGUUUAAUAACUUUGUCUGACAAUUAGAUCAGUCAACAAACGCAACGAAACGCGGCUGAACUCGACGUAGUGGAGAACGUAUGAAUAAGGAAGGGGAGUGGGUGUUUCUUUCCACCGAAAGCAAAAGGAAUUGAUUUUGAUGAUGUGAUUCAAAAUUUGCAGAGAACAAAUUUAGGGGGGAAAGGUUUUAAGUGCUUAUGCUCACAAUGUUAAGUAAACCAGAAAAUCUUUAAAUCAUAACUUUACAUCUUACCAUUAAACAUGUUUUUGUUUUCAAAAUGUAUUUGGUGACUAUUAUUGUCAUCAUUCUUAAG
rnacentral:lncRNA from 1 species